UUUAGACGGGGACAACAUUCCGAAAGGGAUGCUAAUACCGGAUGUGACGCUCCUAUCGCAUGACGGGAGCGUGAAAGAUGGCCUCUACAUGUAAGCUAUCGCUAAAGGAUGGGCCUGCGUCUGAUUAGCUAGUUGGUAGUGUAACGGACAACCAAGGCGAUGAUCAGUAGCCGGUCUGAGAGGAUGAACGGCCACAUUGGGACUGAGACACGGCCCAG
rnacentral:rRNA from 1 species